rnacentral:rRNA from 1 species
CUACGGGUCGCUGCAGUGGGGAAUAUUGCACAAUGGAGGAAACUCUGAUGCAGCAACGCCGCAUGGAGGAUGACACUUUUCGGAGCGUAAACUCCUUUUAUAUAGGAAGAAGAUGACGGUACUAUAUGAAUAAGCGCCGGCUAACUCCGUGCCAGCAGCCGCGGUAAUACGGAGGGCGCAAGCGUUACUCGGAAUCACUGGGCGUAAAGAGCGUGUAGGCGGAUUAAAAAGUCAGAAGUGAAACCCUAUAGCUUAACUAUAGAACUGCUUCUGAAACUCUUAAUCUAGAAUAUGGGAGAGGUAGAUGGAAUUUCUGGUGUAGGGGUAAAAUCCGUAGAGAUCAGAAGGAAUACCGAUUGCGAAGGCGAUCUACUAGAACAUUAUUGACGCUGAGACGCGAAAGCGUGGGGAGCAAACAGGAUUAGAUACCCCCGUAGUC